rnacentral:sRNA from 1 species
UGUACAGAAGAAAUAGGGUAGGCCCA